CCCUGGAAAGCAUAUGCAAUGAUAAAAGAGAAGCCAUGGGGAACUUAAAAAAUUGAGCAUGCUACUUUUAAAAAAGCAACCCUUGAUUUGACUGACCAUGAAUCAUCUACCCUAGAUUCCUUUUUCUUGGAACUUUUCUCAUCUUUAUUGUGAGGCAUUUGAUUUCCUAUCUGUAAAAAAAAUACCCAGGAGUCUCGUGUCACACAGUUUUCUCUUUAGGGUUUUACCAUAAUUAUCCCCUGCAUCUCUUAUGUGUUAUCAGCCCUCCCUCUCCCCUCUGCCCUUCUCUUCUCUCUGUUUUUGUCCCUCUGUCUCUGUCUCUGUCUCUGUCUCUCCCCCUCUCUCUGUGUAUUGCCUUCUUCAGAGUAUGAGUAUGCAAUGGGAUUGGGGUUGUGUGUCUUGUACAUAUCUCAUACAGGCUAUCUAGGAUUUCUGGUUGCACAUACUUAUGCAAAACUCAUUCUGGGAGCUGUUAUUGAUGUUUUGGAGAAUAUUACCCGCGUUAUUCAACAGUAGGAGAAGAACCCAUAUCAGUUGGUUUUGGUUUCUGAAAAUGGAUCCAACUGAUAAAUCAAAGAGAGGGGUUGUGGCCCCGUUGGCCUGGAGCUAUUGGAAAAAUCAGUAUUGACAACUUCUGUUUUCAAGCGUUUUGACCUCAAGGUCUACAAAUCCUGCAGAUUCUAUGUGGAUCAGAACUACUCCAAUGAUCAUGUUAAGAAGCUGCAGCAACGGAUGUUGCGGCACUUUUGUGGUCUAAGAAUUGAGCUGACCUAUGCGGGAAACCUGGGACCAACUAACAAAGGAUUUGAGGGAAGUGGUGCAUCAUAUAUUCAUGUUAUUGGCAAUCCUCCUGCAGCAAAUGUUCUUACUAAACUUUUGCGAGAAGAUUUACGCUGCCUUCCAAGUAGGAUGGGAAUUUUUCUAGCCAUGAGAAGGCUUGAUCAGAUUGACAUGCUUUUGGAGAGAGACUUUCCGUUUGAGGUAGAAUUGCUUUUCUAUCCAGACAGGAAAAAACGUUUAUCUAAAAUAGCUCUAGACAAUGCCAAAGUAUUGCUUCUGCAAGGCAUGGAGAGCGUAGAUGUGGUUGAAAUUGUGGAAAUAUGGGUGGAAUUCCUUUAGUUUUAGAAUUAUUUGGGCUUAAAUUCACAAAGCAGGAUUGCUCAUGAUACAAUAAGGGCAAGAGGAAGAAAGUUGUCACAAUCAGAUAGGGUAUUGUAUUUGGAAUCAUUAAUGGAUGCCGUAAAAGACAGUCAGACAUUGGAGAAAAUAAAAGGGAUUAGUGAUGAAUUUGAAAUUUAAGCAGGGUACCUGAAAUCGAGGCACUCUUAUUUAAGAGUUAUGCAUAUCCCCAAAUCCAUUAAAGUGAAUGGAAUAUGCCUUUCCGCUCUGAAAGUCUAAAGUAUUUAGACGCUGGUGGACAUUUGCCUCUAGAUCUCAGUCAACUCAAGUGACUGGCUGUUUUAAUGGCAACAAUUAGUUACAAUGUUGGUGAG